rnacentral:lncRNA from 1 species
CAGAUUAAUUGCAAGUCUUCUAAUGAUUAUAAACAGAAAUAUGUUGUUGGAACAAUAUGUAUGAUGAAUAUUUUUUUAUUCUCUGUUUUCUGAAUUACUUUAUAGGGACCCUGGCAAGUGAUGUCUUCUUCCAGGCCUAUCUUUUGGAUGGGCUAUCAAGGUGGAAUGAGGACCGGGCUGUGGCAGCAUCAAAGGAUGAGCAGUCGUGCUCAUACAACCAUCUGCUCCGUCAUGCUGCUAACACCCUAGCAGAGGAGGUUCUGGGCGAAAAGAUCAUCCCUUAUGUCGGGCCAAGACAAUACACAGGUGAGCUUAUAGGUGUGGAAUACCUCUAUCAGCAAACUGGCAAAGUUCUGCAGGACUACAAAGUGGUCAUUGAAGAGUCUGAGACCACUGAAGUUGAGAUAGAUGAGGGCUUCACAGGACAUGACAGUACCCACACUAGAGGCAGAGCAAGCACUUCUCGCCUCACAAGCAUCUGCAGCUGUUCCUGGUUCCUCAGCAGCUCCAUCUCCUCAGGCUACUGCCUUUGUGCCUCCCAUUCCCCCCGUUAUCCCUCUGUUGCCAGUGACUCAGUCACAUGUCGCCUCAUCAUCAGCUUCUGCAGCUCCUUCACCUGCUGUGACCGCUCUGCUCCCCCAUUCCACACAAACAGUUUCUCCUGCAGAACAGUCUAGUGAGUUUUACACAACUGUUUCUAAAAUCUCACGUUUUGCUUAUUUUUUUAAAUUUAAAAUGUUUUACUC